GAUUAACGCUGGCGGCGUGCAUAACACAUGCAAGUCGAACGAUGAAACUUUUUUGAUUUCUUCGGAAUGAUUAAAAGUGGAUUAGUGGCGGACGGGUGAGUAACGCGUGAGUAACCUGCCUUAGAGAAGGGGAUAGCCUUUGGAAACGAAGAAUAAUACCCUAUGAAACCAUAACCUCGCAUGAGGAAUUGGUCAAAGAUUUAUCGCUCUAAGAUGGACUUGCGUCUGAUUAGUUAGUUGGUGGGGUAACGGCCCACCAAGACAGCGAUCAGUAGCCGGCUUGAGAGAGUGUACGGCCACAUUGGGACUGAGACACGGCCCAGACUCCUACGGGAGGCAGCAGUGGGGAAGUUUGCACAAUGGGGGAAACCCUGAUGCAGCGACGCCGCGUGAUUUAGAAGGCCUUCGGGUUGUAAAAAUCUUUUCUAUGGGAAGAAAAUGACAGUACCAUAGGAAUAAGGACCGGCUAAUUACGUG
rnacentral:rRNA from 1 species